CUGAUGCAGGUUCGCUCCUCUGUGCCACGGCAGUGGGAGUGACGGAGCCCUUCCCGCGGGAACCCGGGAGACGCAGCCAGCAAAGGAAGCUCAAAAGUCCACGUGGGCACAUCCAUAGAGAAGACAGCCACCGCUCAGCCUCCUGUUUUACCUCUUGGACUGCUGUGUCCCUCUGAGACAGACUCCAUUGAGAUCUCUAUGAAAUGGAUGAUGUGACUUACCAGUAUCGUACAAGCUGUUCCAAGAAUAUCAGCAAGGCACUGGAAUAUGACUAGGGGACUGGAGACUUUCCUGAGAAGGUUUUACCCCAUGAUGAAAAAUAUAUUUAUGUUAUUAAUUUAGCACAAGUGUCUUCUAUAAUGCUAAGGUUUACUUUCAAAUAAAAUAUAAAUUGCACAUCUGGUUGGAAGAAAU
rnacentral:lncRNA from 1 species